AACGAACGCUGGCGGCAUGCCUAACACAUGCAAGUCGAACGAGACCUUCGGGUCUAGUGGCGCACGGGUGCGUAACGCGUGGGAACCUGCCCUUAGGUUCGGAAUAACUCCCCGAAAGGGGUGCUAAUACCGGAUAAUGUCUUCGGACCAAAGGUUUAUCGCCUUUGGAUGGGCCUGCGUUGGAUUAGCUAGUUGGUAGGGUAAAAGCCUACCAAGGCGACGAUCCAUAGCUGGUCUGAGAGGAAGAUCAGCGACACUGGGACUGAGACACGGCCCAGACUCCUACGGGAGGCAGCAGUGGGGAAUAUUGGAAAAUGGGCGGAAGGAUGAUCCAGCAAUGCCGCGUGAGUGAUGAAGGCCUUAGGGUUGUAAAGCUCUUUUACCCGGGAUGAUAAUGACAGUACCGGAAGAAUAAGCACCGGCUAACUACGUG
rnacentral:rRNA from 1 species